rnacentral:rRNA from 1 species
UGGGGGAUAUUGCGCAAUGGGGGAAACCCUGACGCAGCAACGCCGCGUGAAGGAAGAAGGUCUUCGGAUUGUAAACUUCUUUAAGUGUGGAAGAUAAUGACGGUACACACAGAAUAAGCCACGGCUAACUACGUGCCAGCAGCCGCGGUAAUACGUAGGUGGCAAGCGUUGUCCGGAUUUACUGGGUGUAAAGGGCGUGUAGGCGGGCAAACAAGUCAGAUGUGAAAUACCGGGGCUCAACUCCGGGGCUGCAUUUGAAACUGUUAGUCUUGAGUGCCGGAGAGGAAAGCGGAAUUCCUAGUGUAGCGGUGAAAUGCGUAGAUAUUAGGAGGAACACCAGUGGCGAAGGCGGCUUUCUGGACGGUAACUGACGCUGAGGCGCGAAAGCGUGGGGAGCAAACAGG